GAUGAACGCUGACAGCAUGCUUAACACAUGCAAGUCGACUUGAAUUUGGGUUUUUAACUUAGGUUUGCGUGGCGGACGCGUGAGUAACGCGUAAAGAACUUGCCUCACAGCUAGUGACAACACUUGGAAAAGAAUGCUAAUACCUAAUAUUAUGAUAAUUGGGCAUCCUAUAAUUAUGAAAGCUAUAAGCGCUGUGAGAGAGCUUUGCGUCCUAUUAGCUAGUUGGAGAGGUAACGGCUCACCAAGGCGAUGAUGGGUAGCCGGCCUGAGAGGGUGAUCGGCCACAAGGGGACGGAGACACGGCCCUUACUCCUACGGGAGGCAGCGGUGGGGAAAAUUGGACAAGGGACCGAGAGUCUGAUCCAGCAAUUCUGUGUGCACGAUGAAGUUUUUCGGAAUGUAAAGUGCUUUCAGUUGAGAAGAAACAAAUGACGGUAACAACAGAAGAAGUGACGGCUAAAUACGUG
rnacentral:rRNA from 1 species